rnacentral:hammerhead_ribozyme from 1 species
AUCCAGUGACGAGUUGCAAACAGGGCGAAAUGCGCAUCGUGGAU